rnacentral:lncRNA from 1 species
GCACAGCUCUCUCGGGAAGCCGUUCAGAUUAAGUCUCAGAUCCCUCACAUUGUGGUGAAAAACCAGAUCAUCUCUCAGCCCUUUCCAAGCUUGCAGUUGUCUAUUUCUCUGUGCCACUCCUCAGAUGAUAAGAAGUCCCAGAAAUGUGCCCCAGAGAAGCCUGGUCAGGAGGGUCACCUCUACGUCCUGGAGCACAACUUGCACCUGCUGAUCAGAGAGUUUCAUAAACAGACCUUGAGCUCCAUCGUGAUGCCACACCCAGCGAGUGCUCCUUUUGGGCACAAGAGAAUGAGACUCUCAGGUCCUCAAGCUUUUGAUAAGAAUGAAAUUAAUUCAAUACAGUCCACAGAAGGACUCCUAGAAAAAAUAAUUAAACAAGCAAAGCAUAUUUUUCUAAGGAGCAGAACUGCUGCGACCAUUGACAGCUUGGCAAGUCGCAUUGAGGACCCCCAGAUCCAGGCCCACUGGUCGAACAUCAACGAUGUGUAUGAGUCUAGUGUAAAAGUUUUAAUCACAUCGCAGGGUUAUGAACAGAUCUGCAAGUAAGUGUCACAGUAAGUCAGCAAGAUCAUGGUUCAGUUUCCCCGUAACCAGUGCAAAGACCUUCCGAAAAGUGAUGUUUUACAAGAUAGCAAGUGGAGCCAUCUCCGAGGACCGUUCAAGGAGGUUCAGUGGAACAAGAUGGAGGGCCGAAACUUCGUUUAUAAAAUGGAGCUGCUUAUGUCUGCCCUGAGUCCCUGUCUCCUGUGAUUUUCUCCAGAACAAGUUGCAGAAAUUCUGACCUGCGUGUUUGCAGAUCAGUUAUAAGCACAAGGGAGCGAUGGCCUCCGUAUGAGUACUGAGCACAGACUCGUGCACUGGCGCUCUAGCCUUUCGCGGGAGUCCUGUUUAAAAGUGACAUGUUUACCCUGCGUUUGAAUUCUCUCACGUUAUAAGUGACGAGUACUUUGGAAUGGAAAAAUGUAUGUACAGUUUUAGUAUGCAGUAUGGGGAGAUGUAAAAUAGUACAUUUUUAUACAGCUCACCUGAAAAUAUUACUAACUUAAGGGCUUGAAUUUGCUUUUUUUUAAAUUACAUCUUUAAUGUUAACAUAAACUUUGUGUUU